rnacentral:rRNA from 1 species
UAAGGAGCUUGCUCCUUUGACGUUAGCGGCGGACGGGUGAGUAACACGUGGGUAACCUACCUAUAAGACUGGGACAACUUCGGGAAACCGGAGCUAAUACCGGAUAAUAUGUUGAACCGCAUGGUUCAAUAGUGAAAGAUGGUUUUGCUAUCACUUAUAGAUGGACCCGCGCCGUAUUAGCUAGUUGGUGAGGUAACGGCUCACCAAGGCAACGAUACGUAGCCGACCUGAGAGGGUGAUCGGCCACACUGGAACUGAGACACGGUCCAGACUCCUACGGGAGGCAGCAGUAGGGAAUCCUCCGCAAUGGGCGAAAGCCUGACGGAGCAACGCCGCGUGAGUGAUGAAGGUCUUAGGAUCGUAAAACUCUGUUAUUAGGGAAGAACAAACGUGUAAGUAACUGUGCACGUCUUGACGGUACCUAAUCAGAAAGCCACGGCUAACUACGUGCCAGCAGCCGCGGUAAUACGUAGGUGGCAAGCGUUAUCCGGAAUUAUUGGGCGUAAAGCGCGCGUAGGCGGUUUUUUAAGUCUGAUGUGAAAGCCCACGGCUCAACCGUGGAGGGUCAUUGGAAACUGGAAAACUUGAGUGCAGAAGAGGAAAGUGGAAUUCCAUGUGUAGCGGUGAAAUGCGCAGAGAUAUGGAGGAACACCAGUGGCGAAGGCGACUUUCUGGUCUGUAACUGACGCUGAUGUGCGAAAGCGUGGGGAUCAAACAGGAUUAGAUACCCUGGUAGUCCACGCCGUAAACGAUGAGUGCUAAGUGUUAGGGGGUUUCCGCCCCUUAGUGCUGCAGCUAACGCAUUAAGCACUCCGCCUGGGGAGUACGACCGCAAGGUUG